UACGAAGGGUGCAAGCGUUAAUCGGAAUUACUGGGCGUAAAGGGUGCGUAGGCGGUUAUUUAAGUCUGCCGUGAAAUCCCCGGGCUCAACCUGGGAAUGGCGGUGGAUACUGGAUAGCUAGAGUGUGUCAGAGGAUGGUGGAAUUCCCGGUGUAGCGGUGAAAUGCGUAGAUAUCGGGAAGAACACCGGUGGCGAAGGCGGUUAGCUGGGCAGUUGCUGACACUGAGGCGCGACAGCGUGGGGAGCAAACAGG
rnacentral:rRNA from 1 species